GUCUGUCUUGUGAAGAGGAAAAAAAAAUCCCCAAAGACAAGAAAUGGUGAAGACUGCAUUCCAGAAUGGCGGCACUAAGAAGCUUGGCCUUCCAAGAGAAAGACCCACACUAAUGAGUAUACGUGCUGCUAAAGUGAACACAUCAGAUGGGCAUACUCCUGAUGCAAUACCGUAAACUGCGAAGAACAUCAUGGGACUCUUAGAAAGUGCCACUAGUGCUGAUGGAAGUGCUCCCAAGAAGCAGAGGAAAGUCAUGUCAUUACAAGAAAAAGUUGAAUGGUUUGACACGUACCAUAGAUUGAGGUCUGCAGUGGUGGUUGCUGGCCAUUUCAAGACAAAAGAAUUUAGCUAAGAAUCAUUGUUUUUAAAAAAAGGCAAUGAAAAAUUAUGAAGCUGUCACUCCCAGCUAGAAAACUGCAUUUUUUGCUAAAUGCCUCUUUAUCUUGUAUUGAAAAUGCGCUUUAACGUGGGUCCAGAAUUGCUAUAAGAAACACAUAUCUACAGACUAACAUAAUGCAAGAAAAAGCAAAGUUGUUAGAUAACAAAGCAAAAGGACAAUAAGAGUCUAAAGCAGGAGAAUGUAAUGCCAGCAAAGACUGGUUUGAUCAUUUUAAAAAGAGAUUUGGCUUAAAAAUGUCAAGAUAACAGGAGAUGCACCUGCAGACCAGAAGGCAGAAGAUCAGUUCCCAAAGAAAAUCAUCGAUGAGAAAGGAUAUCUGCCUGAACAUGUUUUUAAUACAGAUGAAAUUUAAUCAUGGGAAAAAUGUGACAAAGAACAUUUAUUAGUAAGGAAGAGAAGCAAGCAUCAGGAUUUAAAGCGGGAAGGGAAGGGACAGGCUGACUCUACUGUUUUGUGCAAAUGCUGUUGGGCUUUCCUUACCUGUAAUGCUGCUAACCCCCAAGGCUUGAUGGAAAAAAAUUAACACCAACAGUCAGUGUUUUGGUUGUACAACAAGAAAACCUGAACAAGAGUUCUUUUACUGGAUUGGUUCCUUGGAUGCAUUGUCUCUGAAGUCAGGAAGUACCUUGCCAGUAGGGUACUGCCUAUUAAAGUUCUUUCGAUUGGACAAUGCCCACAGCCACCCAGAACCCCAUGAGUUCAACACUGAAGGCACUGAAGUGGUCUACCUGCCCCAAAACACAGCAUCUCUAAUCAGCCUCUAGAUUUGGGGUGGGGGUGGGAGGGAAGAGGAGGGGCAUAAAGAUCUUUAAUGCUCAUUACACAUGGUACUCUAUGGAAAGAAUUGCCAACGUUGUAGAAGAGAACCCCAAUAAAGAGAACUUUUGGUUUUGGUUUU